GAAGCGACACUGAUUGGCCAGCAGGGCCAGCAGGCCCCCACCCCGCGUCCCCGCCAACCAGGCGGACACGGUGGCCGGCGGCCUCCGCGGGAACAUUCCGCCUCCCCGCGCCCGCCGCGAGGUCUCCGGCGCAGAAAGAACGAGCCCGGGAAGGCGCAGGCGGCCUCUGCGGAGUCCCCUUAACCGGCCUGCCCCGAACUCGUCUCACGGUCCUGAGGCCAGGAGCCGGCCCUCAUCCCUCUCUACAGCGACCGCUAAGGAAGAAUCCGCUCUGGGGAAAGAGUUGGUCAUGGCAGCAGCCGCGGGGAUGGCCCCGCGACCGCUGCACGAGGAGCUCCCGGGCUCGAGCCGCGAGCCAGCCGACCUGUCGGCCCCUUAGGUUUUUGGCGUUCUCCAGCCGGCGCCGGGGGCCGUGGUGCAGAGCGCGCGGGAAGCGGCGGCGCGGGCGGCUCCCGCCCUACAGCAGAAAAGAUGCCGCGCUCCGCGCCCGCCACACGCGAUGCCCGCCUGCAACCUACCCCCGUCUCCGUCGCCCGGGUUCUGAUUGGGGGCAGCGCCAACUCCUAGGUGCUCAUUGGCGCCCCAGGUGCUCGUCACCGCUUCCUCCCGCCUCUUUGCGCGGCAUGCCGGGACCGCCUGCUAACAAGGAGAUAUUUCUACAAAGAAAAAAUUAUGCUUUGCUGGAAGCAGAAAUUUAGGUUUCUCCCAUCCUAUCCCAGCUUUCCGAUUUUACUUUGGAGAUUGGUGUUGAUGUUUAUCUCCCUUGAAAGCAGGACUUCUUCCUGUCUUAUGGCCCUAAUGACCAACAAGAGCCCCAGACCCACCACCAGGCUGCAGACCCACAGAGGCAACAAUGUCUCAAACUUCUCCACGACUUUCCAGCUCCUUGUCCUCAACUCAGUGAGUCAGCUGGGCUCCACUUGUAUUUCCCCAGCCUGUACUGCAAAAUGGAAACUUUCUCCAGGCAAUUAACUGGAACAGUCUUAGGUUCGCUACCCCAAUCAUGCUAUAAAACAUUUCAUUACCAUCAUUCUGAAAAAUUCUCUGUGCCACUUUGCAGCCAAUCCUUUUCCCCGACGCCUGGCCUUUGGCAGCCGUUGAUUUGCUUUCUAUCAUGAUAGUUUUGCCUUUUCUGCAAUUUUGUAUGAGUGAAGUUAUACAGUAUGUAGUAUGUUGUAUCUGGCUUCUUUCCCUUAGUGUAAGGCUUUUGAGAUCCAUCUGUAUUGUGGGGGGUGGGGGUGGGUGGGCAGCUGGCCAGUACAGGGAUUGAACCCUGGACCUUGGUGUCAUUAGCACCAUGGUCUAACCAACUGAGCUAACCAGCCAGCCCGCAUCUAUAUUGUUGUGUGUGUCAGUAGUUUGUUCCUUUUUAUUGCUUACUAUUCCAUUAUAUGGAUAUAGUGAAAUUUGUUUAUCCUUUUGGUGGACAUUUAGAUUGUUUCUGGUUUGGGCUGCUGUGAAUAUUUGCAUGCAAGUCUUUGGAAUAAAUGCCUAGAAGAGGAAUUACUAGUUUGUAUGGUAUGUGUUUGUUUAACCUUUUAAGAAAUUGCUAAACUGUUUUCAAAGUAGUUGUACCAUUUUGUAUUCCCACCAGCAGUGUAUGAAAGUUCUGGUUGUUUUACAUCCUUAUCAAUAAUUGGUAUUAUUGGUCUUUUUAAAUUUAGCCAUUCUAAUAGUUAUAUAGUGGUAUCUCAUUGCAGUUUUAAUGUGACUUCGUUACUGACUAAUCAUGUUCAGCAUCUUUUCAUGUGCUUAUUGAUCAUUUAUAUAUCUUCUUUUGUGACUUGUCUUUUGAAAUAUU